UAAUGAAAGUGUUUUAUUAACAGAAAUACACACAGCAUCUAAUGCAAAAUCCAAAUGACAUGAGACAACCAUGGCACAAUAUUUGAUUUUAAGGCAUUCUUUCACACAAACACUAGUACUUGCAGGGGCUGCAUUAAUUCACACUUUCAAGACUGAGACCCAGAGCUUUCUUUUAGUUAAGGAUAUCAGUCCAGAUCAACUAUGAGUUAACUCAAUGACAAAAUAGAAUUGAGGAACUGAAUGGCCUAUUCCUCUUCAGCUAUUCCUACAAAUUCCAGAGUGAGGUCUGAGUAUUGCCCUUAAGUAUAUACACAAUGUGCAUCCAAAUCAAAUUAGGAUUAAACCAAAAAUGACAGUGAAGCUGUAGUCAUAAUUGGUCUUCCUUUUGAGUACUAAUGGAGACAUGUUUGCCAAAUCUAUAUAAAACAUUGGUAAGGUCCCAUUGGAAGUAUUGUAACCAAUUCUAGGCACCACACUUUGAAAGCAAACCAAAUCCUUAGAAAGGGUACAGAGGAGUUUUACAGGAAUGGUACCAGAAAUGAGGGACUUCGCUUAUGUGAAGAGACUAGAGCAACUGCAUGAGGUAUGGUUAAGAGAAGAGUUGAUAGACAUGUUCAACAUCAUGUAUAGUUUCAAUUAAGUGAAUGAGGAUAAAUGAUUUCCAGUGGCAGAAAAAAACAAUAACUACAGGACACAGGUGGAAAAAAAUGAGCAGAGGAACCAAAACAUGUCAAAAAAUAAGUUACACACCAAGUUUUUUUAAUAAGUUGGAAUGCACUGUCAAAAAGAAUGGGGAAAAAGAUUAUAUAAUAAUUUGCAAUGGCAACAUUUCCAGGGACAGGUAUAAAGCAGGGGUGAGAUUAACUGGAGAGCCUUUACAAAGAACUGGCCCGGGCACUGUGCUUAACAUGGUUUCUUCAUUCUGUCUGAUUCUAUAUUGACAUAGUGUACAAAACGUGAUAAUGUUCUAUUUUUAGGGAAGUGAUUCACAGAGGGGAAAGCAGAAAUGUAUGGUUUGCCUUCACCACUGAAUUUAGAAAUGAGUCCUAUGUAGCAAAUCCCUGUAUAUUAUUAAACAAACAUAUUAUUUAACCAUUCUAGUAGCUCCAUAACACAUAUAAAACUUACGAUGUGUGCCUUUGGGGAGGUAUUGUGGUCGUGGAGACAUUUUUAAAAUGCUGGUAAUUUCUCACCGUCAUUCAGAUUGACACAAUUACUACAGAAAUCUAGUGCGAUCAUUGAGUCAUAGAAGUCUGUAGCAUCAAAACAGACCCUUCAGCCAAACUUUCCCAUAUCACCCAGUUUUCACAAUUAAACUAGUCCCAUUGCCUCUGUUUAGUCCAUAUCCCAUCCAUGUAACUGUUUAAAUGCUUCAUAAAUUUCAAAAUUGUACUUGCUUCUAUCAUAUUUACACAAUCUCUUUUUGAAGGCGGUCAUGGGGUAGAAGGAUGUAAAGAAGGGAAUAGAUUCAAAAAAGGAAAAUGGGUUAUCUCUACACUUCAUUUGCACAAAGUUGGUUGUGAUGAUUUAUUGUGAAAGGAUGUCUUGUACGUCCCAGAGAGCCUACAGUGAUUAAGUAGAUUCAUUAUAUGAUGUGUGCCAUAUUUAUUUCAGCUUUUAAACGUGGAAGUCUUUGGAUCAUUUUGACUUUACUUACCGGAUUCUUUUUUGUACGAUGUGGUGUUUCAGUGGCUAUAGGAAAAGUAGGAAACUAUCACAAUAAUAUUUCUGAUUACAGAGUUCAAUAACAGAUCAAAACGGCAUGUGGGUGGUGGAAAGUUGUGUGUGAGGUGUCGCUGUUCGGAGGAAGGGUCACGGGACCAGAAACAUUGGUCCUGAUUUCUCUGCACGGAUGCUGCCAGGUUUUUCCAGCAAUCUUUGCCUUUGCUGUCAGUGCUGGAGUGUGUCCUCUGAAGUUGCAAGGGGCGAGUGGUACACGUCUCUGCCUGCAUUUCUAGCUCCCUCUGUUGCAUCGGCCGAGCCAUUAAUAAGAAAUCUGUUUUCCAGGUCACCAAUCAAUUGUGAAUGAACAAUUACAACGAGGUUGCUCCGACUUGGGGACUUUUUCGCUCCGUGCUCGUUAACACCUCGUUUACAAUGAAAGGUUUGUAGCUAAACUAUUAAGGCAUUAUCAAUCUCUGCCGUUCAAACCUUUCUGCAUGUCGCGGCUCAACGAUUGACUUCAGAUGGAAAUACUGGCAAUUAAGGCAGCAACGCAGUUCAUGUACCUUUUCAAUAUAAUCGUCAUACUAUUCCAGUUAUUGUGUCGAAAAGAAACAAGGACUGAUGCUUCUGUUGUACCCCUUCCAAUUAUUAAUGCAUUUAUUCAGAGUUGUUAACUUUUUAAAAAGAAAAUGUUGCAUUCUUUAACUUCAUUCUAUCAAUAAAUAAAUGGAAGGAGAAACAGGUUUUGAAACUUCCUAUAAAUACCAUAGGUUUAAGCUAUUUAUAACUUUACCACAUCCCAAUACAUACACACUGUUCAAAUAUACAUUCCCACUUAAAGAAAUCUUCCCUCGUCCUCCCUACGCCGACUUGUAUUUCUCAUCAUGAAUGGUUUCAGCUCCAAUCCAGGUUAGUUCUACACUGUAGACUGUUCCAGCUCCUAAAGACCGGGGGGGGGGGGGGUGGGAUUUGGAAGUGGACAAAUCCUUUCCUCCCUUUACCUAUCGGGCUGCUGGGAGUGAAGUGAAUGCUGGAAAUCACCGCAGAGACACUGGGAAACCAGAAACGCUUCUCCCCUCCCCCACCCCUUCCCCAAAACACACACCCACAAACCGCACAUAAGGUACAAAUCAGACAGGGAUUAAAAGCCACACACUCGCUACCACAGAACCACACACACUCACAAACUCCAAGAAAAUACAAACAAACUCAGCGACUCUACAAAUCGUAUUCAAACACCGUUCCCACCUCCCCCGCCGCCCAUAUGAAAUAAAUUCACAAACUGCUAUACAUGGAGAGCAAACACACAGAACCUUACAAAGGCAGGAAUUCACACACUCGCGGACAGAAACACUCACUCACAAACCGCACAUAGAGUACAAAUCAGACAGGGAUCAGAAGCCAGACACUCGCUACCACAGAACCACACAGACUCCAAGAAAAUACAAACAAACUCAGCAACUCUCCAAAACGUAUUCAGACACCACUCCCAUCCUCACCCCCUCCAUUACAUCCCCAACACAACCACUCCCACCACCCCCCAACCCUGUAAAACUAAACGCUCAAACUACAUGGAGAGCAAACACAUAGAGGCUUACACAGGGCAGGCGCUCACACCUUGGGACAGACACACACAGACACACGCUGGGAACCGAGAGCCAGCAUUCGGCCGAACUGAGCUGAGAAGGACACGCAGUUCUGGCCGAAAGGUCAUCGACCUGCAGGGUUAACGCUUCUCUUUCCAGACGGCUGUGGAACCGCUGAACAUUUCCAGCGCGUUGUAUUUGGAUGGGGAGUCUCUGCUUGUGGGCACUGGCUUGCCCUGUCUGAAGGAGUUCCGGAUUGAGAUUGGAAUGGCAAACGUGCGUUAGAAGUGUUGAGACAUUUUGGUAAAGGGGGAGUGGGGGUGGGGGUUGGUGCGGCUGUUAGGGGAGACCGAGUGACAGAGAGACUCUGUGGGAUCUCCCUAUGCUCAGUGUGGAGCUGACAGUCACUCAGUGAAACAGGAACAGCCUCCAGUACCAUUCUGAGAGAGAGAGAGAGAGAGGUGGAAGUCUAUCCAGCGGCUGGCCAGAUGCAGUGAGCUGAAUCCUCCCAGGGAAGGGGCUGAGGGAGCACCUCUCCCCUCCGAUUCAGGAUGCCUGCUCCCGGGGAGGGUGAAGCGGUCGGCAUCACCCCUUCCCUGGCCAUCUACAUCGGUGUGGAGGUGCUGAUCGCUGUAGCCUCGGUGCUGGGCAAUGUGCUGGUCUGCUGGGCAGUCAAGAUCAACCGUGCUCUCAGGGACACCACCUUCUGCUUCAUCGUCUCCCUGGCUCUCGCUGAUAUCGCCGUGGGCUCCCUGGUCAUUCCUUUGGCCAUUACCAUCAGCAUCGGGCUGCACACCCACUUCUACAGCUGCCUGCUCUUCGCCUGCACAGUGCUGGUUCUCACCCAGAGCUCCAUCCUUGCGCUUCUCGCCAUCGCCAUCGACCGCUACCUCCGCGUCAGGAUCCCAACCAGCUAUAAGAGGACAGUUACGCAGAAGAGAGCUGGGACUGCUGUGGUUCUGUGCUGGGUUAUAUCUAUAAUUGUUGGCAUGAUCCCAAUGUUUGGAUGGAACAAUUACACUGAAGCUACUCAAGAUGGGCUGAACUCGAGUCUCGUGAACAACAUGAUUGUGUGCCAGUUUGAGACAGUAAUCAGCAUGGACUACAUGGUCUACUUCAACUUUUUCGGAUGGGUGCUCCCACCGCUCGUGUUAAUCUUUGUUAUCUACGUGGAAAUAUUUAAUCUCAUCCGGAAGCACCUGAAUCAAAAGGCAGUGUCAAUCAACAAUUCCGAUCCAAGCAGGUACUUUGGAAAGGAAUUGAAACUUGCCAAGUCGCUGGCUCUAGUGUUGCUUUUGUUUGCAAUAUGUUGGCUUCCUCUACAUAUCAUCAACUGCAUCACACUGUUCUGUCCUUCAUGCAACAAACCAAUUAUAGUGAUGUACAUUGCCAUCUUUCUAACCCAUGCAAACUCUGCUGUAAACCCCAUAGUAUAUGCCUUCAGGAUAAAUAAGUUCCGAGUGACUUUUCUCCAGAUUUGGAGCCAGUACAUUUGGUGUAACAAAAAUCACAAUGCAAAUAAUUUAAGCAGAGAACAGUUAAGGGCUAUACGUGAACAGAAAAGUAUUAUGUAAUUUACUUCUUAACCUGAUGCAAUUGGCCUGGAUAAUAAAGUGUAAAAUCAUGAGCGAAGCUGAUCUUGAUACUUUGCUGCUGAGCUCAUUAAUGAUUCAAAUGUUGUGUAUCAUUAUGGUGACAGUUCAAAGUGAAUCCUCAGCUGCCACCUGACACCCUAGCAAAAAAAUGUUUUAUUUCGGGAGAAGCUGGCAAAGUCUUUAAGUCCUAAUUUCUCGACUGUCUGCCAUGUGUUUUCUCUCCUUGUCGUGUUUACAUAUUCUCAGAUUUUAACAAAGACACUAAAUCAGAAGCAGGGUGACCUUAAGGUGAGAUACCUGGCUACCAGAGAGCAGAGGAUCAGAAAGUUUUCAGUUGACUCUCAGUGGACAGUCUUUCUCUCCCAAGAUUUGACUUCAAAGAUCCCACCUAAAAGGAAAGGAUUUCAAAGUUCCCCGAUAAAUAAAUCCUUGACAUAGUAACAUCACUGCUCAAGUGCCAAGAUGGAAUAUUCCAUGUAGACAGCAAACUGUCACUGAAGGAUUCAAUCAUUUUUACACGCUGGGAUUAUUUCAGAUCAAGACACCGAUGUACUUAAAUGGACAAGAUUAAAACUGCUGCUUAAGACCAUCAUCGUGCAUCAUCUUACAGAAUGUGGCGACCUGACAAUAUGCUUUACCAGCAAAUGGAUUUUAUAAAAUUCAGUUAAGUGUCAAAUGCACCAACUUUCCAAGUUCCAGCUUAGGUAUUAGCAGUAUCAUGGACUUUAUGGUACCUAAACCUCGCAAGAAAAAUAGCAGUUCUUAAUAUUCCACUUCCUUUUUAUAUCUGUGUUUGAAACAAGAUUGAUGAAAAUCUAGCAAUGUCAUCUCUCAACAUACUUAAAGUCCAGUGUAAUGACAACUGUAUGAUCAAUGUGGAGGAUAGCUGACUUUGUUCAAGUCCACUAUUACAUGUGUGAAAAAUGACUUUAUUUGACACAUUUAUUAAAAUUCCUUGCAUAAAUAUGUCUUCUAUUCCUUUGCAAGAGAUUUGUUUGGUAUGUUAUGAGUCAGAAAGUAGCUUUACCAUGUUAUAAGUGAAUUAGUUAGUACACUGUUUUAUCCAUCAUAUACAAAACAGCUCCAGAUGAAGGCUUUUCUCUUUCUAGUGUACUGUGGCAUCUAUUCUCAUAUAUUUAAUAGGAAUCCAAAACAAUGAUUGUUUCACCUUUUGGAAAAAACAGAUCUGUGUGACAGAGUAAGACUUUGAUAGAAUCACAAUUUGUCAUAUGGCACUGCGAGUUAGAAUGAAAAAGCUCAAUAAAUGAACUGGUAAAUUAUGUGCCUUGUGCCUUGUUCUGGUAGUAUCUUAUCACAUGAAAAGACAGGUUUGUGAAAAGCUUUCUGUAUUUUCUCACAAGUUCGUCAUAUUAAAGUUUUGAAUUGGAACUAUUGAACAAGUUGAAAUUGAUUAAGUAAUGACGACCAAAAUUCAGAAACAGUUGCUUCUUGUUUGGUGCUGUUAAAAAAUAAUGGAACUCAUCAGCAUUCUUCAAGAGGGAAUUGUUUCUGUAUUGUUUGACUUAUGACUUUGGAGAUCUACUUUAUGGAAUCAGAGGACAUAAGAAGAGGGCAGUAAAAAGUUGAAAAUUAUUUUGAAUGCUAUCAAACAUAAUUGCUUUAUAAGUUUGAAUGUUAAAAAGGGCACAGUGAUUCAGUAAUGGUCUGGUGGUCAUUUUGGAAAAAUAGCAGAAAGCAAGUAAAUCCAUUGUCAUCAAAAUCAUGCAAGUCCUUUCAGUAGAAUCAAGACAAUGGUCUUCAAAAUGAAAUUCUAUGGCACAUCUUAUUGAGUGAAUCAUUUUUUUUUAAUACAAAUUGACUUUAUUGUACAAUGUAUAAAAUGAGCCAUCAUAGGCGAUGUUCUGAAUGUAUCAGAUUGUUUAAAAAUGUGACCAACCUCAUGCCCUAUAAGAUGUAAUAUUUGUUAAUGUUUUCCAUCAAUAUAUGAAAUUAAUUUGCAAUUUUACAUUGUUUAAACCCUGUAUAGACUUAAUUGAAUUCACAAUGGAGCCUCUCACUUUCAUGCAUCUGUUUAUUUGUGAGCUGAUUUACUGUACACUAAUGUUUUCCAACAGAUAUUGUUUUCUAAAAGGAAUUUCAGAAUAGCACAAUGAGAACGUAGCUCUGUACAAAUGAAAGAUCUUAUUUAAAUUAAUUGGUAAAUACAAAUGUCAUGGUUUGAAGUAAUACAAUUACUGUGUUCAUACAGUAGGUGAAUGUAUAAAUAAAAUAUAUAUUUCAGGAAGUAUUAAAAUUAAAAAAAAACAAACAGCUAAUCAGUUG